CACACGCUACCAAACCAUAUGCGAUAAAAAUUUGAUUAAGCAAAUGGAUCCUUUGAUUGGGAAAAGGUUCAGCCUGGGACGGGAAAUCUUCCACAUCAAAUUGGACCGAGGAGGCUUUGGCGGCUGACGACCGCUAUGGUUUGUUCGUUUGGAUCUUCUCAGCUGUUUGUGGGCAGUGGUGCGGCCUAGCGGUGAAGAUGUUGAGGCUAGUGGAACUCUUGAGUGCGUUCGGUCGAGCAGGUUCGAUUGACAUCUCUCUCAAUCGCUUAUCCACGCUUUUCAGAGCAGUGAAGAUGUUUAGGCAAGAUUCUAUUUACAAGAAGAGGCUAUGAUUAAGCUUGUGAGUGUCAUUGCUUUUGCCGCUGAGGUCUUAAUGUUUACUUUUGUUUUGAUGCUUAGUUGGAAAGAUGUGCAGCUGCUGAUACUCUCUCACUUGUUGCUCGAAUUUUGCAUGGAUCCAAGGCUCAUCUCUGGAGAAUGCUUUUUCAAAAAAAUUGCUGCUGUAGUGGAAGAUUUCUAUGUGAAUUUGGUAGGUUCAUUUGUUAUUGUCUGUAGGAGUUCCUUGUAAUCAGUUAGUGGCUAGGUAAUUGCCUAGAGAUGAUGUGAUAUGGUGUUGGUUCAAUAACGAUCUGACUAGGAACACUUUUGUCAUGUAAUUGAGUAUGCAUAUCAAAUACCGAAUUUGAUAACGCAGUAUCUUUGAUGAAAAUUGUUUUAUGAUUAAAAAAGUGAUGUUUCAUAGAUACUUCCCCAUGUGAAAGACCAAAUACACACACACGGAAGCAUAUUGGACUCAUCCUCAGUAGUAAUGAUAUGGACACUUGAAGCACCUAAAAUAGGAUAGAUUUUAUGGAAGAAUGGUGGUUCAGUUCGAUGCUGUGGAACCGUCUGAUUGAAACAUUGAAAUUUUCUUUGGUACGAGACGUAAAGUGUGAUGUUGUACUCUUGUAGUUGUACCCUUUCUAUAUUGCUUCUGUCUCAUUCCUUUUCUUUUAUAUUUUGUUUUGUUCUUCUUUCUGAACUUUCUGUACCAGAUCAUCUGUUUGAACCAUGCAUGUUUCCUUAUACAGGACUGAAGUGUUUGACAAUCCAUUAAAUAUAAAGAUUCUUGAUAGAAACUCCUGUAAUGCAGAUGCAUAUAAUAUGUUUCUUUUUGUCUGGGUGGAUGCUGUACCAGAUCUUAUAGAGCAUAUUCAUAGGACAACUGCAAGACUGCUCCUUCAAAUUAAUAGAGGGUUGGGUUGUUUGUACCAAUUCUGGAAAUAUAUUCUCAUUCUAUGAAGUUCUUGGAAAUAACUGGAAAUAUAUUCUCGUUUUAUAAAUUCCUUGUUUUCCUCUGGUCUGUAGUCUAUAAAUAUCUUCAACUAUAUGAGUAUGUCACUGAAUUGUAACUACUUCGGGGCAUAAAAGUUCAGUUAGCAGAUCAAAGUAUUUGUGUAAAAUUACAUUAUGUGGCUAAUUUAUAAAAUUACAUUAUGUCAUUUUUUACCAAAUUUUAUGUGCCAACACUCUUUACAGGUAUGUUGAUCGGAUUCCCAAAGUGAAAUGGGAAGUGAAACAACUUGGACUUGAACAUAACAGGUACGUUGAUUUGUUAUUGGAAGAAUUUAAGCACUACAAAACAAGGCGUAGUCAUGGGGGAAUCCGCAAGGAGACUAUUUGUGGAAGUGUUGGGAUAACCAAAUUGGAAGCAUGCUUGGGGAGGGAGAGGGUUUUACUCAUCUAAAUAAUGGAGGCAAUCCAGCCUUGGAGAGGAAACAUGAAGAUAAUUAUAGAUUUAUGUUGUACUUUAUAUGAAAUUGCACCCAAAUUGUAUAUUAUUUAUUGUAUGCAGUGUAUUGUAGAUUCAGAAAUGUGGUUGUUAGCUGGGCCUUUUUUUUUUAUAAAUAUAUUCUUCAAAAUUUGCCACCGAUGUUGGUGGCACUGAAAACACACUGAUCUCCUAUUAGUGUGAAAGGACAAAGUUUGCUGCAUUCGAUGUUGGGAUGCCAC